GGCCGUGACUCUUUCAAGAGAGAGAUUCUCAUCUUUGCUUUCAAAACACCAAAGACGGAGGUCUGAUAACAUGGAGCUCCAUAAAUCCUUGCAAGACAGAGAAAGGAAGGGGUUAUAGCUACUCUUACAGAAGACAUAAGAAGAUAUAUACGCAGAGAAGACAUCAUAAGACCUGAAGAUGAAAAACUUCUGAUCACAGAAGAAAGAUAUACAACAGCCUUGAAGCAUUCUGAGAACCCAGUGAAGGCAAUAAUGUCUCUUCCCAGAGAAAUUCACAGAAUUAUGCAAACUUGGCUCAAUUGUCUUCUGGCAUAAUUGGUGCUACAGAGAACAUUGAGAUCUGGGCUACAUUUUGCCAAGGAGAGGAACAUCUGUGGAGUCUGGAAAGUGGAAGUAAAUCGGAAGCUUUAUUCUCUGGAGGUGGUGGCUGCCAGAUGAACAUGCACAUGAGCAAGACACAGAAGACAUGGAGAUCCAUGUAGAAUCAUAAGAAGGUAAAGAAGAAGGAAAAAAUGUAGCCCCUAGAAGCUUGGAACUGCCCUCAGACUACAGCCAGGAAGCAGACAGGGACUUCAGUUCCACAGCCACAAGGAGCUGAAUUCUGCCAACCAGAAUGAGCAAGAACAUGGAUUCUCCCCUCAAGCCUCCAGAAAAGAAUGCAGCCUACAGUCAGCACUUUAAGUCCCAUGCAACCUAUAAUAGAUUUCUGACCUACAGAGCUUUAAUGUCAUAAAUUGGUGUUGUUUUAAGUCAUGAAGUUUGUGGUAGCUUCUUAUGACAGUAAUUGAAAACUAAUACCUGGUCUUUUUAGCAGAAUAACGAGCACCCUGUAAUGUGUCAUUCAUGCAUAUCUUUUUUUUUUUUUUUUUUUUGGUGGGGGCAGGAAGACAAAACUCUAGAGUUUAAUCUUCCAGCUGACUGACUUGGAAGUGUUCCUGUCAAUAUAAAAGAUCUUGUUGGGGG
rnacentral:lncRNA from 10 species